rnacentral:lncRNA from 1 species
UAAUGGUAAUAUUUAUGCUUUCCCUUGCACAUUAAUUAAGAAAUAACUUACGCAGUGUCAGGGCUCUUAAUAGGCUGGUGACUUUCUCUCUCUUUCUCUGUCUCUGUCUCCGUCUCUCUGUCUCUCUCUCUCUCUCUGUCUCUCACUCUAGCUCCAGCUGUCUCUUUCUCUCCACCCCACCCUUGAGACUGUCUUUGCUCAGAACAUUUUAAGACCAACCAAUUUUGCUUUAGGGGAGCUCAUAUUCAGAUCCUUGUUGUAUCUAAUACCAAAGGUAUUUCUCCCCUCAAUAAAGAUCCCCCUCUACAAGGAUCAAGAAAUGCUGAGAGCCCUAAAGGAAUCCUUA